rnacentral:rRNA from 1 species
UACGUAGGGUCCGAGCGUUGUCCGGAAUUACUGGGCGUAAAGGGUGCGUAGGCGGGUCUUAAGUCAGGGGUGAAAUCCUGGAGCUCAACUCCAGAACUGCCUUUGAUACUGAAGAUCUUGAGUUUCGGGAGAGGUGAGUGGAACUGCGAGUGUAGAGGUGAAAUUCGUAGAUAUUCGCAAGAACACCAGUGGCGAAGGCGGCUCACUGGCCCGGUACUGACGCUGAGGUGCGAAAGCGUGGGGAGCAAACAGG